ensembl:lncRNA
GAGACACACCUGGACCUCAUCCCCUCAUCACGGGGGUUACAAAAGGCCAGGAGGACACGGAGAGGAGCAGUGUUGGUGCGCCCAUAGCUCUCCAGGGUGGAGAAGAUUCCACGAGCCUUCAUCCUCCAGUUCUACUUUUUCACCUCACUAACUCUCCAUAGACUCUUUCUGCAUGUACGUGUCUACCUGCACAGCAGACGCCUCUACCUCACCCAAGAGCUCCCUUCUGGUGGCAAAGCACAGCUGGACAAGACCGCAGAGAAUCCAGGGGAGGAAAAAAAACAAACAGAAUCCACACACAUCGGCCCAGGAGCAGAGCUUUUCCUCGCUGACACCACAGUGCCGGACACCCAGGCCCCGCUGCCGGACACCCAGGCCCCGCUGCCGAAGACCCAGGCCCCGCUGCCGAAGACCCAGGCCCCGCUGCCGGAGACCCAGGCCCCGCUGCCGAAGACCCGCCGGAGACCCAGGCCCCGCUGCCGGACACCCAGGCCCCGCUGCC